AUUGCAAGCCUGUUGACAGCACUUCAGUCAGAUCAAGACGGCUUGUAGUACCCCAUCGCUUCGCUUCUUUAGGGGGCCUUCAUAGUGACAUUAAAGGAGUGGACGCUGAGCAGGUUUGAGAUUGAGGGCUCUGAACAGAGGGGGGACAAAAGCAAGCAAGCCAGAGGGCGGAGGGGAGCGGAUGAACCGGUGAGAUGAUAAUGCAGCAUGACACCUCUGAAAUGAAUCCCUGGUUACCAUGGCGAAGAAGCGGGAUGAGCCGCUCUCUUAGGAGGCUCAAUAAAAGCAUGUUGUAAAUGAUGUUUGAUUAGUAUUUUCAACAUGUUCCUGCUUGGAAGAGACGUUUUUUUGUCAGCUGCCUCUUCUAUUGUUCUUCUCCUACCCAAUAUUAUGAGGAUAAAUAAACGGCAACUGCCAAUUUAUAUGAUA